GCGGACGGGUGAGUAACGCGUGAGAAUCUGCCUAGAGGACGGGGAUAACCACUGGAAACGGUGGCUAAUACCGGAUAUGCCUGCGGGUGAAAGGAUUUAUCGCCUUUAGAGGAGCUCGCGUCCGAUUAGCUAGUUGGUGAGGUAAGAGCUCACCAAGGCAGCGAUCGGUAGCUGGUCUGAGAGGACGAGCAGCCACACUGGGACUGAGACACGGCCCAGACUCCUACGGGAGGCAGCAGUGGGGAAUUUUCCGCAAUGGGCGAAAGCCUGACGGAGCAAGACCGCGUGAGGGAGGAAGGCCCUUGGGUUGUAAACCUCUUUUCUCAGGGAAGAAAACUGACGGUACCUGAGGAAUCAGCCUCGGCUAACUCCGUGCCAGCAGCCGCGGUAAUACGGAGGAGGCAAGCGUUAUCCGGAAUUAUUGGGCGUAAAGCGUCCGCAGGUGGCGCAUCAAGUCUGCUGUCAAAGGUCGGGGCUUAACUCCGGAAAGGCAGUGGAAACUGAGGCGCUAGAGUGCGGUAGGGGUAGAGGGAAUUCCCGGUGUAGCGGUGAAAUGCGUAGAGNUCGGGAAGAACAUCGGUGGCGAAAGCGCUCUACUGGGCCGCAAC
rnacentral:rRNA from 1 species